CUCACGUUUGUCGAAGAAGCUUCGCACGGUGUUGCCCUCCAGCAGGCCGGGGUCCCUGGUCACGCCGUCCACGUCCGCCACGGUGUUGUACAGGUCCAGCAUGUACUGGGGCGGCUGUUUGUGACCGUGGACGGCGGGCGGGUCCUCCAUGCCGAACACCUCCAGCAGCCUCUUGAUGGCGGCCGAGCGGACCUCGCGGGAGUCGGCGGCGGCGGAAGGCGACUCCAGGUGGUUGCGGGCGGGGGGCCGCGCUCGGGCCGGGCACAACAAAGCCAACACUGCUAUCACCAACAUCAGCAUUUUCUUUCUUUUUUUCUUUUAUGUGUGUUUUUUCGUGUGUCCGAGUGAGGGCAUGCGGCUGCCCUUAUAUGUAACAUGGCCCCCACGCCCUCCAGCCCGCGCACUCUCAUGUGUAAGCAUCUGACGGUCAGGGGCGGCCGUUGGGAGGAGGCAAGAGAGUCCACAGCUGCAGGAAGAACGACGCAAACUCUCCGCUCAUGUCUACGAAACCGACCUUGAGUCUCUCCUCCUUGACCCCGUCGCCAUGGUGGAGGACUUCAUGGUAGUUCUCCACGUAGGACCCCCGGUAGCAGCUCUCCUUCAGCUCACAGGCCGACACGGUCUGGACCACGUCCGCUUUGUUGGCGCUUUCCACUAAAGCUGAGUCGAACUUGGCGGGAACGCAGUGUUGUUGAGGGACCGGCCUGGAAAAGAAGCAGGCAGCCAGACCGGGAAGAAAAGUCUCCAUGACAACGCUGCUGUCACUUUGACUCAUUGAGAAAUGUCCAGCCAGGCCGAAGUCCCGCCCCCAAGAGCUAUAUACUCCACCGUGAUUGGUAGGUUCCUCCCGCUCCACACACAACACUGUAAAGUGCCACCGCACUAACGUGACACUUUCAUACUAAGGUGGGGGCCACGAAAUAUUGUCUCGGCCCCGGGCUGUGAGUUUGAGACCCAUGACCUAAUGCUUGUCCUUUUAGACCAGAGCUGGGAAAAUAUUUUUGAGUCGGGUGGGGCCAAAUUGGGAGGAAAAAUUGUCUGGUGGGGGCCAAGGUAUAUGUGUGUAUACUUUAUAUAUCUACACUUAGUUAUGUAUACAUAAUCUGCUGUACAGUUUGUGUGUUUUGGUCCCUGCUUUUCAGGAACACUCAUACCAAAAGUCCAUCCAUCCAUCUACCGCUUGUCCCUAUUUUGGGGUCGCUGAAGCCUAUCUCAGCUGCAUUGAGGCGGUAGGCAGGGUACA